GAUGAACGCUGGCGGCGUGCCUAAUACAUGCAAGUCGAGCGAACAGACGAGGAGCUUGCUCCUCUGACGUUAGCGGCGGACGGGUGAGUAACACGUGGAUAACCUACCUAUAAGACUGGGAUAACUUCGGGAAACCGGAGCUAAUACCGGAUAAUAUAUUGAGCCGCAUGGUUCAAUAGUGAAAGACGGUUUUGCUGUCACUUAUAGAUGGAUCCGCGCCGCAUUAGCUAGUUGGUAAGGUAACGGCUUACCAAGGCAACGAUGCGUAGCCGACCUGAUAGGGUGAUCGGCCACACUGGAACUGAGCCACGGUCCAGACUCCUACGGGAGGCAGCAGUAGGGAAUCUUCCGCAGUGGGCGAAAGCCUGACGGAGCGGCGCCGCGUGAGUGAUGAAGGUCUUCGGAUCGUAAAACUCUGUUAUUGGGGAAGAACAAAUGUGUAAGUAACUAUGCACGUCUUGACGGUACCUAAUCAGAAAGCCACGGCUAACUACGUG
rnacentral:rRNA from 1 species